CCAAAAAUCUGAUUUUUAUUAUGGGGUUUGGAAAUUUCAUUUUGACUUUAAGUCAAUUAAAGACCAAACACCAUCUUUUUCUUUGUCUGCCUUCUUCUUCCUCCUUUACACGUAUGAGAACUUUCUCAUCAAGCUUCUUGACUUUUCAUUCUUCAGUCCAAGAACAAAGCAAAACUCAUUUCUCAUUCUUUCUCCUUUAUGCGUGGCAAAACCUUGUUAAUUUGAAAUGCCAAAUGUCCAAUUUAUUUAUCAAUUUCAUGACUCACCAUGUCAAGAAAGCUUAUAAAUAGCCAUUAAAGUUUCUGUCAUCUUCAAGCUUACAAAUCCAACUCAAAUUUGAGUAAUCAAAUUAAAAACACCAUUGUUAAAGGUUGGAACUUUUUACCCCAUUAACUUUGACCACCAUUUUUCUCUCUCCUCCGUUGACCACCGCGGCUCCACCGCUGCCACCACCUGUUUCCAGCGAAUCCUUCCUUCACCGCCUCGGACCAGUGCCCAGAACCCUGACCCGGCACCACCUUUUCCCCGUCGCCGUGUCCAUGCCGCUGUGGCCCUUUUUCUACGGGUGUUGCUGCUGUUGCGUGACUACUGCUAUUCUUUCUCUGAUUGAAUUUUCAUGGUCUUGUUUUAUUGAGUACUUGGAUUUUAAAGGUGUGGGCCAUGGUUUUAUGUUAAGGAGCCAACAAUCUUAUGGAGUAAGAUAGUGGACCGUGAGUUUAGUAAAGAAAGAACUAUUUUGGGUUUAUUUUUCCAUAAAGGUAAAAGUUUAUUAAGUUCUAAGUAUCAUAAUUUUAAGUUGGCAUAUUACUAAAUUAAUUAAAGAAUCUUAUGAUUAAUGCAUAUUGUUGUUAUAAUUUUGAGGUUGGAAACUACGGGAAGUAUUUGGAGUAUAAGGUGUUCGGCUCAAACGUUUUUAGUUAAGGAUCGAUCGAGGUUCGAUUAAGGAGCUCAAGUUGCUCAAAUGAGAGUUAUUACUGGAGUUGGUAAUUUAUUUUGGAGAUAUCGAGACGAGAAUUUAUUUAUUAUGGAAAUCAUGUUAUUGAGGUUGUUAUAAGAAUAUUGAUUUAUAUUUAUUUUAUGGAAAAGUUGUAUUAUUUA